GAGUUUGAUCCUGGCUCAGGAUGAACGCUGGCGGCGUGGAUAAGGCAUGCAAACGGCCCAGCCCCUCUUUUGGUCUUAAGAAGAAUAUGUUAUCUAGACACUAUGUAUUUUGUCUAUAUUAUUCAACAUUCUGAAACUAAGCAGAUAUAUAUUGGCUAUACAGAUAAUCUGGAGCGCAGAUUAUCCGAGCACAAUAAUCGAAGUAAUAAAGCUACUAAUCGAGUAAAUGGCGAAUGGUCUUUGAGAUAUGCAGAAAUAUAUCUCGAUAGACAAAAUGCACUAGAUCGUGAACGAAAACUUAAGUACCAUGGCAGUGCAAAGCAGAAGUUGUUACUAAGAUUAGAAAAAAGUUUACUAUGAGGUCAAAAGUGGGGCUGGGACAGUGGCGAACGAGUUAGUAAUACCUUGGAACGUACUCCGAAGACGGGGAUAACUAGUCGAAAGAUUAGCUAAUACCCGAUAGUUCUCGUAAGAGUAAAGACGCAAGUCACUUCGGAAGCGGCCUAGGUCCUAUCAGUUUGUUGGCGGGGUAAAAGCCCACCAAGACUAUGACGGGUAGGGGGUGUGAGAGCACGGCCCCCAACGAUGAAACUGCGAUACGGUUCAUACACCUACGGGUGGCUGCAGUCGAGAAUAUUCGACAAUGGGCGAAAGCCUGAUCGAGCGACGCCGCGUGCGGGAAGAAGUCCUUCGGGAUGUAAACCGCUUUUGCCAUGGAAAAAUUUUGAUUGUACAUGGAGAAUAAGGGGUUGCUAACCUCGUGAUCCCAUUAGGGAUGGCGCGAGGCAUGAGAGUAAUCU
rfam:Candidatus Yanofskybacteria bacterium RIFCSPHIGHO2_01_FTLL_41_53 rifcsphigho2_01_scaffold_8725, whole genome shotgun sequence.